rnacentral:rRNA from 1 species
GCUUAGCCCUAAAUCCAGGUACUUACUCAACCAAAGUAUCCGCCUGAGAACUACGAGCACAAACGCUUAAAACUCUAAGGACUUGGCGGUGCCCCAAACCCACCUAGAGGAGCCUGUUCUAUAAUCGAUAAUCCACGAUACACCCGACCCCUUCUUGCCCAAAGCAGCCUACAUACCGCCGUCCCCAGCUCACCUCCCCUGAGAGCCAAAGCAGUGAGCACAACAACAACGCUAGUAAGACAGGUCAAGGUAUAGCCCAUGAGGGGGAAGAAAUGGGCUACAUUUUCUAAUUUAGAAAACGAAAGGAAGCCUGAAAAGGAUUCCAGAAGGAGGAUUUAGUAGUAAAGAGGGAUAAGAAUGCCCCCUUAAACUCGGCCCUGGGA